rnacentral:rRNA from 1 species
UGGGGAAUUUUGCACAAUGGGGGAAACCCUGAUGCAGCGACGCCGCGUGAUUUAGAAGGCCUUCGGGUUGUAAAAAUCUUUUUUACGGGAUGAAAAUGACAGUACCGUAAGAAUAAGGUCCGGCUAAAUACGUGCCAGCAGCCGCGGUAAUACGUAUGGACCGAGCGUUGUCCGGAAUCAUUGGGCGUAAAGGGUACGUAGGCGGCCUAGUAAGUUAGAAGUGAAAUAAUAUAGCUCAACUAUAUAAAGCUUUUAAAACUGCUAGGCUUGAGAGAUGGAAGGGAAAGUGGAAUUCCUAGUGUAGCGGUGAAAUGCGCAGAUAUUAGGAAGAAUACCGGUGGCGAAGGCGACUAUCUGGUCAUCAUCUGACGCUGAGGUACGAAAGCGUGGGUAGCAAACAGG